GCUCGUGUGGUGUAGUGGUUAUCACGUCGCCUUUACAUAUUUCAAGCGAUUGAAAGAAAAUCGGCGAAGGCCCUGGGUUCGACCCCCAGCAUGAGCA